rnacentral:misc_RNA from 1 species
UUUCCGUAGGUGAACCUGCGGAAGGAUCAUUAAAAAUGAAGCCGGGAAACCGGUCCUUCUAACCCUUGAUUACCUUAAUUUGUUGCUUUGGUGGGCCGCGCAAGCACCGGCUUCGGCUGGAUCGUGCCCGCCAGAGGAUACAACUCUGUAUCCAGUGUCUUCUGAGUACUAUAGAAUAGUUAAAACUUUCAGCAACGGAUCUCUUGGUUCUG